CACAACAUCUGCCUCAGUGCUGGUGACAUCGUGGCCCCGGAGGAUGAGCCUGAGGAAGAUGGAGUGGAGGAUGAGGGGGAGGCUGGCUUGGAGGCAGUCAGCGGUGCUCGCUGGUGGGGCCAACUGUCUGCUGAGGUGUCUGYCCUGGAGGAGGUACCAGCAGACCACGACUACUGCUAAAAAGCAAUGAUGUGGCAGCCGUCGAUUGAGCCAGCCCUGCAAACCCUGUUGUUGGACGAUUCAGUGGACAGAGAGAGGGAGCGUCCCAAAAACACUCUGCAGACCACCCAUGAUGUUCCACUUGUUGACCAGAGAAGACCAGUCCCGGGUCU